rnacentral:sRNA from 12 species
AAUGAUACUUCUGUGUAAGGCACAGCUCGCCGGAAGGCGGGAUAUGUUGUUUCAGGCUGGAAACUGAUGUCUCUUAUAACAUAU